AUUGAACGCUGGCGGAAUGCUUUACACAUGCAAGUCGAACGGCAGCACGGGAGCUUGCUCCUGGUGGCGAGUGGCGAACGGGUGAGUAAUGCGUCGGAACGUACCGAGUAAUGGGGGAUAACGCAGCGAAAGCUGUGCUAAUACCGCAUACGCCCCUGAGGGGGAAAGUGGGGGAUCGCAAGACCUCACGUUAUUCGAGCGGCCGACGUCUGAUUAGCUAGUUGGUGGGGUAAAGGCCUACCAAGGCGACGAUCAGUAGCGGGUCUGAGAGGAUGAUCCGCCACACUGGAACUGAGACACGGUCCAGACUCCUACGGGAGGCAGCAGUGGGGAAUUUUGGACAAUGGGGGGCAACCCUGAUCCAGCCAUGCCGCGUGAGUGAAGAAGGCC
rnacentral:rRNA from 1 species